UAGGGUGGGGAGGAGGAUAUACUGUGUGACUGUCCUUAGACUUCUGGCUAAAACCUGCUUUCUAUCCCAGGACAGAGGGGCCUGCCCUCUAUCUCAGGAUUGGCAUACCAUCAAAAUCCAAAGACAAGAAACAAGUCAGGAGCCAGGAGCACCAGGCCACACCCUGCCAAGCUGACCUUGGAAUAGCAGGCAGUGAAGAGUCUCUAAGCUGCCAGAGAAUCUACAGAACGAGACUGAGAAGGUAAACAAAGAAGUCAUUGGGGGCCAGAUCAG